rnacentral:rRNA from 1 species
CCUACGGGUGGCAGCAGUGGGGAAUAUUGGACAAUGGGGGCAACCCUGAUCCAGCCAUGCCGCGUGUGUGAAGAAGGCCCUCGGGUUGUAAAGCACUUUCAGUGAGGAAGAACGCCUGGUGGUUAAUACCCAUCAGGAAAGACAUCACUCACAGAAGAAGCACCGGCUAACUCCGUGCCAGCAGCCGCGGUAAUACGGAGGGUGCGAGCGUUAAUCGGAAUUACUGGGCGUAAAGCGCGCGUAGGUGGCUUGAUAAGCCGGUUGUGAAAGCCCCGGGCUCAACCUGGGAACGGCAUCCGGAACUGUCAUGCUAGAGUGCAGGAGAGGAAGGUAGAAUUCCCGGUGUAGCGGUGAAAUGCGUAGAGAUCGGGAGGAAUACCAGUGGCGAAGGCGGCCUUCUGGACUGACACUGACACUGAGGUGCGAAAGCGUGGGUAGCAAACAGGAUUAGAUACCCCUGUAGUC